ensembl:lncRNA SYNPO2L-AS1 SYNPO2L antisense RNA 1
AGUUGCUAAAGCCAGGCCAGUGAGACAUAGAGCUGAGACAGGCAAUGGGAGCCCUGGAUUAGGGGAAGAGAAGAGGAGAGAGGUCCAUACCGCUGCACAGUGAGGACAAGCUGAUUUCCUGAGGCAUCGAUGAGGCUCAUGGCACUGGCAUGGGAGAGGUUGGUGCAAGAGACCCCAUUGAUUGCCAAGAGCUGGUCCCUCUCUCGGAGUCCUGCUCUGCCAGCCUGGCUCCGUCUUCGAAUCUGAGAUGUUGAAGGAGACACUGUAGACUGAGGAGGAGGAGAAGGAGGAGGAGGAGGAAAAAGCCCAUCAUCAACACACACAUCAAACUCAACUUCAGAGAAAUUAGGAAGCUGGGAAGCCAUGUAAACCAAAAGCAGGAGACACCAGCAGAACCAACGCAGGAAGCCAGGGAAGUGCAGAAGAACAGGGCAGGGGGCAACCCAGGGGGGAAUCUUCACUGUUGCCAGCAACACACACUCCCAGCAGGAGAGGACCCUCAGAGUGAGAACGCAGAGCUGGAGAAGUGAAGAAGGAGCAGGUGGUGCCCGGGGAAGUCCAGGGGUGUGGG